UAACGUCCGUCGUGAAGAGGGAAACAACCCAGACCGCCAGCUAAGGUCCCAAAGUCAUGGUUAAGUGGGAAACGAUGUGGGAAGGCCCAGACAGCCAGGAUGUUGGCUUAGAAGCAGCCAUCAUUUAAAGAAAGCGUAAUAGCUCACUGGUCGAGUCGGCCUGCGCGGAAGAUGUAACGGGGCUAAACCAUGCACCGAAGCUGCGGCAGCGACGCUGAUGCGUUGUUGGGUAGGGGAGCGUUCUGUAAGCCUGUGAAGGUGUGCUGUGAGGCAUGCUGGAGGUAUCAGAAGUGCGAAUGCUGACAUAAGUAACGAUAAAGCGGGUGAAAAGCCCGCUCGCCGGAAGACCAAGGGUUCCUGUCCAACGUUAAUCGGGGCAGGGUGAGUCGACCCCUAAGGCGAGGCCGAAAGGCGUAGUCGAUGGGAAACAGGUUAAUAUUCCUGUACUUGGUGUUACUGCGAAGGGGGGACGGAGAAGGCUAUGUUGGCCGGGCGACGGUUGUCCCGGUUUAAGCGUGUAGGCUGGUUUUCCAGGCAAAUCCGGAAAAUCAAGGCUGAGGCGUGAUGACGAGGCACUACGGUGCUGAAGCAACAAAUGCCCUGCUUCCAGGAAAAGCCUCUAAGCAUCAGGUAACAUCAAAUCGUACCCCAAACCGACACAGGUGGUCAGGUAGAGAAUACCAAGGCGCUUGAGAGAACUCGGGUGAAGGAACUAGGCAAAAUGGUGCCGUAACUUCGGGAGAAGGCACGCUGAUAUGUAGGUGAAGUCCCUUGCGGAUGGAGCUGAAAUCAGUCGAAGAUACCAGCUGGCUGCAACUGUUUAUUAAAAACACAGCACUGUGCAAACACGAAAGUGGACGUAUACGGUGUGACGCCUGCCCGGUGCCGGAAGGUUAAUUGAUGGGGUCAGCGCAAGCGAAGCUCUUGAUCGAAGCCCCGGUAAACGGCGGCCGUAACUAUAACGGUCCUAAGGUAGCGAAAUUCCUUGUCGGGUAAGUUCCGACCUGCACGAAUGGCGUAAUGAUGGCCAGGCUGUCUCCACCCGAGACUCAGUGAAAUUGAACUCGCUGUGAAGAUGCAGUGUACCCGCGGCAAGACGGAAAGACCCCGUGAACCUUUACUAUAGCUUGACACUGAACAUUGAGCCUUGAUGUGUAGGAUAGGUGGGAGGCUUAGAAGUGUGGACGCCAGUCUGCAUGGAGCCGACCUUGAAAUACCACCCUUUAAUGUUUGAUGUUCUAACGUUGACCCGUAAUCCGGGUUGCGGACAGUGUCUGGUGGGUAGUUUGACUGGGGCGGUCUCCUCCUAAAGAGUAACGGAGGAGCACGAAGGUUGGCUAAUCCUGGUCGGACAUCAGGAGGUUAGUGCAAUGGCAUAAGCCAGCUUGACUGCGAGCGUGACGGCGCGAGCAGGUGCGAAAGCAGGUCAUAGUGAUCCGGUGGUUCUGAAUGGAAGGGCCAUCGCUCAACGGAUAAAAGGUACUCCGGGGAUAACAGGCUGAUACCGCCCAAGAGUUCAUAUCGACGGCGGUGUUUGGCACCUCGAUGUCGGCUCAUCACAUCCUGGGGCUGAAGUAGGUCCCAAGGGUAUGGCUGUUCGCCAUUUAAAGUGGUACGCGAGCUGGGUUUAGAACGUCGUGAGACAGUUCGGUCCCUAUCUGCCGUGGGCGCUGGAGAACUGAGGGGGGCUGCUCCUAGUACGAGAGGACCGGAGUGGACGCAUCACUGGUGUUCGGGUUGUCAUGCCAAUGGCACUGCCCGGUAGCUAAAUGCGGAAGAGAUAAGUGCUGAAAGCAUCUAAGCACGAAACUUGCC
rnacentral:rRNA from 1 species